CCUACGGGAGGCAGCAGUGGGGGAUAUUGCACAAUGGGGGGGACCCUGAUGCAGCGACGCCGCGUGGGUGAAGAAGCGCCUCGGCGCGUAAAGCCCUGUCAGCAGGGAAGAAAAUGACGGUACCUGAAGAAGAAGCCCCGGCUAACUUCGUGCCAGCAGCCGCGGUAAUACGUAGGGGGCAAGCGUUAUCCGGAUUUACUGGGUGUAAAGGGGGCGCAGACGGCGAUGCAAGCCAGGAGUGAAGGCCCGGGGACCAACCCCGGGACUGCUCUUGGAACGGCGUGGCUGGAGUGCAGGAGGGGCAGGCGGAAUUGCGGGUGUAGCGGUGAAAUGCGUAGAUAUCAGGAGGAACACCGGUGGCGAAGGCGGCCUGCUGGACUGCAACUGACGUUGAGCCCGAAAGCGUGGGGAGCAAACAGGAUUAGUUACCCUUGUAGUC
rnacentral:rRNA from 1 species